CCACAGGACACGGGGGCUGCUGGUCCCUGAAACUGCCACUCAAAGCUGCAGGUUCUACAAGUGCAAUGGCAGUGCAUAUUCCACUGGAUGAAUCCUAGUGCAGCAGAAACACCAUCUGGGCAGCAUCGAAUCCCCCUCGCCUGUGAUCUGUGGGUGAAGGGACACAGCAGGAAGGAAGCACAGAGGCUUUGCUGAGGGUGUGCGGUCCCUCCUGGAAACUCCUGGCACAAGUUCACUAAAAUGCAAGCGCUAUGUGCACUUUC
rnacentral:lncRNA from 1 species